AGCAGAGAUUGCAUGAAAGAUGUAUUCAGAGGUGUUCAAUGGCAUUCAUUGUAUUUUUUUUCAUCCUUGUACACAGAAAUCAUUGGGUUCAUCAUUGUCUUUGGACUGAUCAGCGGAAGUACAACCUUGCCAACUAUAGCUACAAAUCGAGAAUGGAAUAUAAAACUGGAACCCCUAGCCUGGCUUAAGAAUAAGGCAACCAAACUGUUUCAAGACUAUGAGAGGUGUACUGAGAUAAAAAGUCACGUCAAUCUGACUACCUCGGCCUGCAUGCUCCAGUACUCGGCCUGUGAUCCAAAGCAGACAGACAACUAUAACCAGAUCCUGCAUUUUUAUUACUGUUCUUUAAACCACAGCAAAAGUAUUUUUACUUUUUGUAACAUAGGUACCACCAUUACAGCAAUUACCAACCAAAUGAAGACAACAUAUUCACACCUGGGUAACACGAAUCACCAAAACUGCAGAAAAUGUCUCGAUAUCCAUCACAGCAGUGACUGGGCCAAGCAAAUUUACUUCUGGAAGGUUUUCAAGGAAUAUGUAACCUGUAUGAACCAAGCGUAUCAGUCCCUUGAAAAAUCCUUACAGGGUUAGAGAAAAAAUAUUUAAAUUUGGGGUGUUCUGAGUUUCUGGUUAAUUAAUGAUUCUACGUAUUAAUUUAAUGUCAGAGACAGAAUGAAUAAUUUACCUACUUUUUAUAUUUUUAGUAAAGGAUCUGUUUUAAAUUUAAAUAUUUAAAGCGUACAUUUUUAAUUUAUUGAUAUUUAUUGUAAAUCUAUUUAUUCUGUAUUUAUUUGUACUAGGUGCACUGACAGGGCAGAUUAAUAUACCUAAAAUGGUUUAAAUAAUGGAUUUUAGUCAGCAAUAGGACACCUUGAUUUAAAAUUAUUUCAGUCUUGCUUGUAUUUGUGCUGUGUAGUUGUUUCCUGUCAGAUUUUUGGUCUAACUGUGUAAUUAGUUUUGACAACCAGGAGAAUACUUUAUACAUUUAUUGAAACAAUUGUACACCUUAAAACAACUUUAUUUUUACAUUUACAUUUUAUGAUUAAAUGGGGAAUGAUGCAUUCAUUUCUUUCUUAGGAGAUGAUUUUGAAUCGUGAUGUGUGUUAAUCUGCACCUGAAUUAAAAUUGGAAUUUAAUUAAAAUGCACAGAAACAUCUGUGCCAUUUUGUCUUUCAUAAAACUAUCUGGAUAUUUGGAAACUACCUGAAUAUUUUGUAUGUAAUUUUACCAAGGUAUGCUCUGCAUUUAAAACAAAGUAUUUUCUUAAAUAAAAGGAAAAUUAUUUGAAUUUAGUAAAUUGAA
rnacentral:lncRNA from 1 species